CCGGCGUACGGGUGAGUAACGCGUAUCCAACCUGCCCUUUACUAUGGGACAGCCCGUCGAAAGGCGGAUUAAUACCGUAUGUUGUCAUGUUGAUGCAUAUUUUCAUGACCAAAGGCUUCGGCCGGUACAGGAUGGGCCCGCGUCUGAUUAGCCAGUUGGCAGGGUAACGGCCUACCAAAGCGACGAUCAGUAGCCGGCUUGAGAGAGUGAACGGCCACAUUGGGACUGAGACACGGCCCAAACUCCUACGGGAGGCAGCAG
rnacentral:rRNA from 1 species